CUUAUUGAUGUAUGGUAUCCCUAAAGCUUUGAGCGAUGAUCUGCAAUCACUUGUGGUGGGAGGAAAGAAAAUUUUCUGCAUCAUUGUAAUCCUAAAUAUGAAAUGAUUAGACACGAUGUUGUUGAACCAUUGCUGUUGGAAGUUGAUCAGAUCUAUCAUUUAGCUUGUCCUGCUUCUCAUGUUCAUUACAAAUUCAACCCUGUCAACACUUUCAUAUCCUUUUUCACAUUUUAAUUUUUUUUCUUUCAAAACCUCUUCCUUGAAUUGAAGUUUUUGUAAAACAGGGAAAUUAGGUUUAUGUCAAUUUAGGGUUUUUAUAUAAUUUGAUGGUUAAGAAUCGAAUUCAGAUAAUUUAGUGUUCUUGAAUGAAUGAAAUUGUUGGGUUUGUAUCUAAUUCGACAUUGCAGGGGUUUAGAAUAAUAAUUGGAGCUAUAAAAAGGAUGAGACAAAGGAAACAGAAAGACACAAUCGACUGCACCCCUUGCCUUCUUGAGAAAGUCUCCACAGAUGCAUGAGCUGCACCAUCUUUUCCAUCACCUAAAUCAGUAUAUUAUCCACUAUUCGCCACCACCAGCUUGUUCUCAUACAUCCCCAUCUUCACAACCAUUUAUCCCAGACAGUUCAGGUCCACCACUACUUCAAUUAUGGGUUUACAAUCGUGUUUUAUGUUCCUUGGUUUAGAUAAUUGAUAACAACUCUUGCUAGUGUUGUUUUAUAAGGUGCAAGUAGGAGAAAACUGUUGGUGCGCUGUGUGAGGAAAUGAUAUGAGCUUGUGUAUGGAAUGUCGGUGUGGACGCGAGCAGGUGAUAUAUGAGGUAGCUGGUGAUGGUGGGAAAUGUUGGCGAGAGAAGUUUUCUGUUGGUAGAGUUCAGGUCGCAUAUCUGGUAAUAGCUCAAGUUUUUAUUCUUAUAAAUGAUUGUUCAUCUGUAAGAUAGCUCUGGUUAUUGAUUCCACUUCUGAAUUGCAGCUAGGUUCAGAACAUAGGCAAUCUAGGAAAUAAAUAGGUAUUGCAGUUGAGUUGGAUUGUCCAUUUACUUGUGAUUUGUUUUGUUCAGUUUUUAUGUGUGCUGACAUGUUGCUCUCAGUAGUUUGAGUGGUACAAUCUCCCAAUACAAGCAGUCUUGAUGAGGAGAUAGAGUUAGAACAACCACUGUCAGAAAGGAUCAUACUUCAUCUAGUUUAAGAAUAAGGGUUUGUGGAUAGAUCGAGAAAGGAAAGGAGUUGGGAGUUACUUACACCUGGUUAAUCUAGUCCUGUGGAAGGUGAUCCUCUUCGAACACCAAGUACACAGCCUAUACCCCCUCCAAUGCUUCUAUAUCGGUAUCAGCCAUACAACUGUAUGAAUAUAAAUUCUAAGAAGAAUUGAGAUGGAUUGAUGUUAUCAAGUUGGGGACAAUAAGUUCUCUUUUUAUCAACUGGCGCAAAGUUCCGAUGAGAAGUCAUGGAAAAGAGAAACAAAAUUAUUAGUGAAUGUUGUUGGUCAUGGUGAAGACAGCAGGUUCUGAGGUACCUUGCCUCAUCGUUUUGGCUAAGGAUGUUCUUGAUCCUUUUGUACUGUCCAUACAAAAUUCAACCAGGAUAUGCUUUAGUGAGAUAUGGAUAUCUUGUCUAUACUAAAAUCAUAUGUUGAUUAACCACUUUGUUGAUGUUAAGGGAUUUGUCCCAAGAUCUGUUUUUACAGGUUUAUGUUAUUCAACCAGUUUCCGGGUAUGGACUUGCCAUACCUUGUAUCUCUUCCCAUUUUUAUCUAUGGGAGGUCAUGAAUGCUAUUGAUUGGGUGGGAAUUGUUCUAGCAGGUGUUGGAAUUACAGGUAAUGUGUAGGUGUUGGAGGAGAUGAGCAAAAGGAUUCAAGCAUAAAUGAUUUAACUGAUGAUUACCAUGAUCUCCUGGUCUAAGUUCAAGGUUCUUCAUUUUAUUGUAUCUGAAAACGAAUAGUAUACUUGUCAUUUUUUUUUUAUACUACACAUAAAACUUGUAUGUCCUUAGAACUUUUGUGAUGUGUCUUACUUUUUAUGUGUACGGUGAAUUAAAUUGAAGGAAAAAUAUUUUAUUGAUAA